rnacentral:rRNA from 1 species
UUCUCAGUUCGGAUCGGAGUCUGCAACCCGACUCCGUGAAGCUGGAUUCGCUAGUAAUCGCGCAUCAGCCAUGGCGCGGUGAAUACGUUCCCGGGCCUUGUACACACCGCCCGUCAAGCCAUGGGAGCCGGGGGUGCUUGAAGUGCGUCGCCGCGAGGCGCGCCCUAGAGCAAAACCGGUGACUGGGGCUAAGUCGUAACAAGGUAUC